ensembl:lncRNA
GGCAGGCACCGCCUCAGUUCUUUGCCCCUGGGCCCGGGACCUCGAGCUCAUAAAGUCCAGGGGCUUCCUUCGUGAGGACUGGCACUGACUUGGGGGCGUAAACUCGCAGGCGGGAACCUGGACUACUCGCUUUAGGCCCUAGCGCAUCCCGGGCGUUUACCCGGGAAUGUGAAUGUGAGUGCGGUUCCAAACUCCGGUAAUUUGGGGGCCUUGUCCCGCCUCCAAGUCAUUCGACUUACCUGCGUUGAGAUACUAAUUUGUGCCUGGCACUCUGGUUUUUGGAGAGAGUAACAGAAAACGGCGAGUUUCUGGGUGACUCACGGAAACCAGAAAUACCUGGGUCCAUCUCUCUAGCUGUGGUGCUAGAGAAGACUCUUGAGAGCCCCUUGGACUGCAAGGAGAUCCAACCAGUCAAUCCGAAAGGAUAUCAACCCUGAAUAUUAAUUGGAAGAACUGAUGCUGAAGCUGAAGCUGCAAUGCUUGGGCCACCCGAUGCCAAACUCAUUGGAAAAGACCCUGACGCUGGUAAAGAUUGAAGCCAGGAGGAGAAGGGGGAAACAGAGGAUAAGAUGGUUGGAUGGCAUCACCGACUCAAUGAACAUGAGUUUGAGCAAACUCCAAGAGAUAAUAAGGGACAGGGAAACCUGGCGUGCUGCAGUCCAUGGGGUCACAAAGAGUCAGACAUGGCUGAGCAACUGAACAACAACAAUCUCUCUAGCAGGUAUUUUUUUCCAAUAUUCAAUAACUGUUACCUGUACCUACAGUUAACCUGGCACUGUGCUAGGAACUGGUGCUGUAAAAAAUGAAUUUGACUCAAUCCCUAACCUCAAGGGACUUAAAAUCACAUAGAAGAAAAGAAAAUAAAUGCAUAGGUGCGUUCAAUCAUGAUUCUGCUGCGGGAAAUACUGAGAAGGGUAGAGUUCUGUGGAGGCUUUGAUAUAGCUCCUGGAGAAGGGGUGGGAAUGAAAAUAGCAAGAUGUCACCAGUGCUUCACCUCUAGGCCUGGUAAGUGGACUCAAAAAGGGUUCAUGCUUACUGUGCACCAUUGGAACCCUAAGAUCCCAGAGCUGUGUUUAGGGGACUCCAUUCCAUCUUCGCACCAUCCAAUGGGUCUGCAUGCCCAGUUUUCCCCAUCCCACAUUAAUCCUCUCAGGUUGGGUCUCACAUGCCAGCAAGAGUGCAGCACCCUGCCCAACAGUAUGGCUCUUCAUGUCUUUCAAAGCAUUAUUUGCCUGUUUUAUAGAAUCUAAAC